AUUGAACGCUGGCGGCAGGCCUAACACAUGCAAGUCGAGCGGAUGAAGGGAGCUUUUUCCUGGAUUCAGCGGCGGACGGGUGAGUAAUUCAUAGGAAUCUGCCUGAUCUUUGGGGAUAACGUCCGUAAUCGGGCCCUAAUACCGUAUCCGUUCUGAUGUUGAAAGUGGGGGUUCUUUGGACCUCACGCUAUUAGAUGACCCUUGGCCGUAUUAGCUCGUUGGUGGGGUAAGGUCCUACCAAGGCGACGAUCCGUGACUGGUCUGCGAGGAUGAUCAGGGACACUGUGACUGAGAGACAGUCCAGACUCCUACGGGAGGCAGAAGAGGGGAAUAUUGGACGAUAGGCGAGAGCCUGAUCCAGACAAGCCGCGUGUGUGAAGAAAGUGUUCGGAUUGUGAAAAACUUUGAGAUGGGAGAAAGGGAAGUAAGUUAAUACCUAGCUGUUUUGACGUUACAAACAGAAUAAGAGCCGGCUAACAUCGUG
rnacentral:rRNA from 1 species